ACUAUGAUCUGAAGUCAGGUGGGAUUACCCGCUGAACUUAAGCAUAUCAGUAAGCGGGGGAAAAGAAAAUAACAAUGAUUUCCCUAGUAACGGCGAGUGAAGAGGAAAGAGCUCAAAGUUGGAACCUGUUUGGCCUAGCUAAACCGGAUUGUAGACUGUAGAAGUGUUUUCCAGGCAAGCCGAGUAAAUAAGUCCUUUGGAACAGGGCAUCAUAGAGGGUGAGAAUCCCGUCUUUGGCUUGAGCAUUUGCCUUUUGUGAUACGCUUUCAAAGAGUCAGGUUGUUUGGGAAUGCAGCCUAAAUUGGGUGGUAAAUCUCACCUAAAGCUAAAUAUUGGCGAGAAACCGAUAGCGAACAAGUACCGUGAGGGAAAGAUGAAAAGAACUUUGAAAAGAGAGUUAAACAGUAUGUGAAAUUGUUAAAAGGGAACCGUUUGGAGCCAGACUGGCUUGUCUGUAAUCAAUCUAGGCUUCGGCCUGGAUGCACUUGCAGGCUAUGCCUGCCAACGACGAUUUGACUUGAGGGAAAAAACUAGGGGAAAUGUGGCCCACUUGUGGGUGUUAUAGUCCCUUAGAAAAUACCUUGGGUUGGAUUGAGGAACGCAGCGAAUGCUUAUUGGCGAGUUUUCCAGGAAGGUUUUCUGAGGUACUACGGUAUCAAGGUUGAUCUUUUUGGUUAUACUUCUAUUCGCUUAGGUUGUUGGCUUAAUGACUCUAAAUGACCCGUCUUGAAACACGGACCAAGGAGUCCACCAUUAGUGCGAGUAUUUGGGUGCCAAACCCAUAUGCGUAAGGAAACUGAUUGAUACGAAUCCAUUAAGGAGGCAGUAUCGUCCGGCGCUGACGUUUUAUACUGAAUUGACCGAGACAAAGCACUAACGAUGGGACCCGAAAGAUGGUGAACUAUGCCUGAAUAGGGUGAAGCCAGAGGAAACUCUGGUGGAGGCUCGC
rnacentral:rRNA from 1 species